GCCAGAUGCCGUCUCAGGGGUCCCACCUGCCUGUGGCUUGUCUCUGGGGCUCGGCUCUGUGACCACUUGGUGGACAGCAGGAACCCAGAUGCUGGCUCAGGUCUCCUGCCAUCCCCGACUGAGGGUCCAGGCAGCAGAGGAGGGGAGCUCUGAGCCCUGCAGUGGAUGGGCUGGUCAGCCCUUCUGCAGACUCCUUCAGAGGGUGGCUGCUGAGCACCCCCGUGGACCAUGUCGGGCUCCCUCCAGGACUCAGGCUGGGGACAGGCUGUGGAGCCCGGGUGAAUGGCCCUCCUCACCACGGAGCUUUACUCCCCCAGCUUCUAGCCUAACCCAGUUCUGCUGGGAGGCAGGCUCCCACAGGGUGCCAAGGACACGGGGAGACAUGGUGUGCAGCUACGGCACAGAGCCCCUCCCCUAGAAGAUGCUUCAGGACUUCAUGGGAAGCAUUACGAUGCCAGUGCUCGGUGCUGGGGUGAGACAGGGACAGCUGCCUGCAAAUGACCACACCUCCCUGAGCCUGGCUCUCGGGCGCAGCCUUCGGCCCUUUCCUGGGACUCUGCUGACAGCAAGGGCGGUGGUGGUGCCGUGUCCCCUGGCAGAGCGCAGGACAUGGUGAAGGAGAAGGAAAGGGAGCCCGUGUUCCACAGCACAUUGAGGACAGAGUUCUAGAACGUCACGGUUGCAGAGGCGGCGGGAACAAGCGGGGACAGCAGCGCCUGCAUCCCACCAGAAAAGAUGUGUCCUGUCCCCAGCACUGUCCCUCGACAGCCCACCUGCUGUGAGUGCCAGGCCAGAUUCGGGGGCUUCCUGCCGGUGCCCAGGGUCCAGGCGGCAUUGCCUUACUGGGUCCCUUUGUCCUUGAGACCCCGAAAGCAGAUCCAAAAGAUGGUCCGGUUUUAUAUCCCCAAAACCUCCGAGGCAUGCCCCUGCUUAUGCCACCGCUUUGGGGGCCGGCUCCCGAUGCCUAGGGAUCAGGCCGUGAUGCCCUACUGGGUGCCCCAGAUCCUGAGGCCUCACAAGAAGGUGUUGAAAAGGCCGCGGAGCUGUAAAGGCAUCCAAGUUUUUGUAAUGUGCGUCGUCUUUACUCCGGCAAGCCCUUGUCAGGGUGACGUCUGGGAGACACUCCGACAUGCAUGUCUCUGCAGCAGUGGUGUCCUUGGCAAGGUGUCUGAAGCAGCUGAAGCGUGUCUCGGGAGGAUGGACGUACGUGGGUGUGUGUACGAAAUGUGGCACCUGCCUUGGAGAGCUCGCAGCCCUCAGGGACGACGGGAGGGAGCCCCGGACACACUGCGGCGAGGAGAAAUAAGUUGCUGCCGGCUGCGGAGUUGGCCCCCAUUCCCGUGGCCCCAAAAAGCUGAAGCCCCGUGUGGAUGUGGAUGCGGGCUGUGGAACGCCCCCUGGACUUGCACUCCUGGUACAACCGCUGGCGGAUCUGCUGUGACGGGCGCCUCCUCCUCAAGUGGCAACAGCUCCAGGCCAUUUACCAGCACGAGCCGCUGGCCCCAGAGAGGGGAGUGAGCCCCCCGGCCCCCUUCCUGCCCUUCAGCCUCCUCACCCUCCUGCAGGUGGUCCUGAAGGUCGUGUUGGCCAUUCGCCACUUGUUCUGGUUUUGAAGUUGGAAUCUUCAGCCACUGCCGAGAACAUCAACGAAAAUGUCCAUCAUAAUGAAGGUCUUUGACGAGAAUGUCAAGUCAGGGGGAGUGCGCGAUAGCCACGGUUCUCUCAGGCCCCAGGAGUCACACCCGGGGUUGGGUCCAGGCCCUCAGCAGGCAGUGCUUCGUGGCGGCGCAGCUGCUGUGGACGCGGGGGAGACUCCGGCGAACGCGGCCAAUAAAUGUUAUUUGUGAAGCUCCA